ensembl:lncRNA
CUCACUUUGUAUGAAAACCGUACUUCCAUUUGUUUGUGUAUUUCCCCCAAUUAUUUAAAUGCACUUCUAGUGUCAUUUUCCAAGGUCUGCUCAGUCCCACUCUCAUGCUCUGGUCAGUCUGACAGAACACUGCAGUCUUGGCUUCAUUUGCUUCUGGACCUGUUCCAGUUCUGUUGUUCAAAACAGUGUCCUUUCUAAGUCCCCAUCAGCACUUCUGCUAGACAGUCAGCAAGACUGUUUAAAGAUGUAGUCAGUGGAGCUCCGAUCAUCUGAAAAAGAUUAUGGAAGGACUGAAGAAAUACAAAGAAAAGAGCAAGUGUGAUUCAAGAUGAAAUCACCUGUAUAAUAAAGGAUGUAAUAGCAAUGAGUUGUAAACCUCUUAUUGCUGGACACACAGCAUGCUGGAAAAGCAUCAUUCUCUGCGUGCCUCUUGCUGUAUGGUUAAUCAUCGCUACUGCCAACUGAGGCUGAGAAUUGAGACAGGUGGAUAUCAGGUCCAUCCUGUACAACAGAUACAACCUUCUGGCACUCAGCUUAACCUUCAGGGUUCUGCUUUCCAUCUUUAGGUGGUGAAAUCCUUAGGCUCUGUCCAGAUGGGGCUUCUGUGCACCAUCACCUGCACUGUCCUGCAGCUGUCCCAGUAGGUCUGACUUUGGGGCAGUAUUAACAUUUCCAGUAAAUGCUGUUCAUCUUCAUAAGCUAACCACCAUGGAAGCCUUCCCUCUCACUCCCCCAACUCAGUUAAUUAAGCCAGGUGAAGAGUACCUCAGAGAACAGACGGUUUUAAACAUGCUGCUUAUACAUUUGCUAGUUUAUCAGGUGGUGACUGAUCCUCCAAGUGGGGACUUAAAAAAAAAAAAUCUACAAUACUUGGAGGUCUUUCUACAGGGCUGCUCUAUUUGGGCACACCAUAUCAGUUCUGGAAUAGUGCUUGCCUCUUCCUAAACAACACUAUCAAAAUACAGAAUUUCAAGUUCUUCAUCUGAAGCCUUCUGAGACAGCUAAAUGUAUCCGUGUGCUGCUUCCCCAACAGAGUGGGUGAGCAGAACUCCAACUGACGUGUUAUUUGUAUUCUUUUAACACUAGAAUUUCAUGUUACUAACUCUCAAAAUUGUCCUCUGCCAGGAAAUAUGUGGCACUUACAAAAUUAGUACAAUGUUUGACUAUGACAUGAUUCCAUAGCAUCUGUUACAUCUCAAUAUGUCACUGAAUAUUUCACAAUUAUUUAACAUCUAUCACAGCUCUCUACUCCAAGAAAGACUAAGUAUUUCAAAGUUCUCUCUUCUGUAGCAUAAAUGUUCUGCAGCUACUGAGGUUUUCUCAGUGCACUUACCUUAGGUCUUCUAAGGAGGCAGCUCAUCCCAAGAGGUACUGCUCCAGGUGUCUUACUUUUCAAAGCUAGUUUGUAAGGCAGAUUUAUCUAUGCUCUUUAAAGUGUUCUUGUAUUUAGUAAAACCAAUAGUUUUUUUUUUUAAAAAAGCAAUCACCUGACAUAUUAAAUCAUCCUAACUUGGAAUGUCUCUAACAGAAUUAGGUAACUAAACACAAACUUGACUGGACGUUUUGCAGUGCACAUAGGAGUACUCCUCCUUACUGUCAGUGAGAUUUCAUCUGACUGAAGCUGAGAUUCUCACCGAAGCACAGACAGCAAAGAAUUUUAAAGACCAAACCCUUUCUGGCUAACCCUACAUAGCAAAUACCUCAGUGACAAAGCAGCUGUUCAGUAUUUUGACGGCAUUGGUGUUGAAGCUCUAACAAAAAGAAAUUUGUGGGGUUUUCUAUGAACUGGAAUCAAUCUGACUCACUAGAUGAGGUAUUCUCAGCAUAUACUGCAUUCAAAGUUGUUGAAUAGAAACUGCCUCAGAACCGUUCUUCCUGUCCAGAGAUGCACGUGCCCCGGGGAAUCCCAUGCCACCCUUCUGUCUGUCCCAGUCAGAUGACAGCAGCAUGUCACUGCCCUGCCUCCUUAACUGCUCACAUUGAAAAGAAGUUUUAUUUCUGAUUCUGCACAUUUCUAUCCGACACCACGAUGCUGGUUGCUCAACAGAUCCCAAACUGAGUAUGAACUACAUCCAAAAGUUCAUGGCUUGGACAGAAGAAGGACCGGAGCCAUUGAAAACAGCUCUAAGAGGACACUGUGAUGGCAGCAGCAUUGGCUUUUAUUUCAAAUUUAAAAAAAAUAAAUAAAAAAUCAGACAUGGAGAAUGGGAUGCCUUGUUGCUGUGAUUGUUUUUGCUGAUAGCCAGCUGGAGCCUCUGGGCCCAGGAGAUGAGCUCAGACAGUCCCCUUUGCAACAGCAUAUGUGGAGAAGAGCACUCAUAGCCCUUGAAGUGUGAGUUUUUUCCUUUCCUCCAGUACAACUGGAAGAUGUUUUGGCAUCUCUUCGCCAUGUUGAAAAGGGACUAUCUACCCAUAGAGCCUCACAACCCCUGUCUGCUAGACCUCACCUCCUACUCCUACAACACCAUAAAGGCUCAGCAAACUGGACCAAUACACAGGAAGCGGAGAAGACCAAGGGAGUCACUUCAGAACUAUUCUAUGCUUUGAGCAAGAAUGUUAAUGCAUGUUCAACCUAUAUGGGCUCUUUCAAAAUUCAUCACUAAUUUUAAAUUCCUUGCAAGAAGGAAACUCAGAUACAGUGUCUUUAAAGGACUAUGAUUAAAAUAACUUGUUUCCUCACAUUUAUUGCCAGAAAACAGUGCACUGUAUUUUCUCAUAUUGUUACUGGCAAUCAGCACACAAAAAGUUAUAAAAACAAGUCUCUUUUUUUUCCCGUUAGGGUAUCUUUCCAUUCAAAGAACAGUGUUAAGUACUCAAAGCAGGAACACAGCUAUAAU